GGGCCUAUAGCUCAGCCUGGACAGAGCGACUGGCUUCUAACCAGUAGGUCCUGGGUUCAAAUCCCAGUAGGCCCG
rnacentral:tRNA from 5 species